rnacentral:misc_RNA from 1 species
AGUAGAAGGACUUCAAAUGAACAGAUUCAGUGAAGUUGAAGAGCUAGUGUAUCUUCGUUGGGUCAACGCAUGCUUAAGAUUUGAACUUCGGAACUACCAAACACCUCAAGGAAAAGUAUCCGCUCGUGAUCUCAGCAAAAGCCUGAGCCCAAAAUCUCAGCACAAGGCCAAACAGUUGAUGUUAGAAUAUGCAGGUUCUGAACGAGGCCAAGGAGAUACAGAUCUCGAAAGCAAUUUUUCUCAGCCAUCUUCUCCCGGUAGUGAAGACUUUGAUAAUGCUUCUAUAGACAGUUCCACUAGCAGAUUUAGUACUUUCAGUAAAAAGCCCAACUUAAUCCAGAAGCUGAAGAAAUGGGGCAGUAGAGGUGGUAAAGACGAUUCUAGUAUUAUGUCUUCACCAGCAAGAUCUCUUGGAGGAGCAUCUCCUGGUAGGAUGAGUAUGAGUGUAAGACCAAGGGGUCCUCUGGAAUCUCUAAUGCUUAGGAACGCGGGUGACGGUGUAGCCAUCACUAGUUUUGGAACAGCUGAGGAAUACGAUUCCCCAGAAACACCAAAGCUUCCACCGAUUAGGACUCAAGAAUCUUCUGCUGAGACACUGAAUUCAGUUGCAUCAUCGUUUACUCUAAUGUCAAAAUCGGUGGAAGGAGUUCUAGAUGAAAAGUAUCCGGCAUUCAAAGAUAGGCAUAAGCUGGCAGUAGAACGAGAGAAGACAAUUAAGGCUAAAGCUGAGCAGGCAAGAGCAGCAAGGUUUGAGAAGACCUUGCCUCCAAAACUUGCUCAAUUGAAAGAGAAGUCGGUAUCACUGCCAGGGUCAGUACCAGUUUUGCCAGUGGUCUCCGCCUCUGGUGAGUCAGCAGAGCAGUCUGGUGAUAGCAAAACCGACUCUCAAGCCGUGAGCAAAAUGAAACUUGUUAAUAUUGAGAAAAGACCUACUAGGACUCCUCGUCCACCGCCUAAACGAUCAGGAGGUGGUCCAGCUCCAGCUGGUAAUAAUGUUACAGGUGGAGCACCUGGAGGUCCACCCCCACCACCUCCUCCGCCUGGUGCUCCACCACCGCCACCUCCACCUGGCGGAGGACCGCCUAGACCACCACCUCCUCCUGGAUCUUUAAUGAAAGGAGGAGCUGGAGGUGACAAGGUCCAUCGUGCUCCUGAAUUAGUUGAAUUCUACCAAACUUUGAUGAAACGCGAGUCAAAGAAGGACACAUCAUCAGCUUUGAUAACCGCUACUUCAAACACAUCAGAUGCAAGAAGCAACAUGAUCGGGGAGAUAGAGAACAGAUCCAC